rnacentral:rRNA from 1 species
GAUGAACGCUGGCGGCGUGCCUAAUACAUGCAAGUCGAGCGAACAGACGAGGAGCUUGCUCCUCUGACGUUAGCGGCGGACGGGUGAGUAACACGUGGAUAACCUACCUAUAAGACUGGGAUAACUUCGGGAAACCGGAGCUAAUACCGGAUAAUAUAUUGAACCGCAUGGUUCAAUAGUGAAAGACGGUUUUGCUGUCACUUAUAGCUGGAUCCGCGCCGCAUUAGAUAGUUGGUAAGGUAACGGCUUACCAAGGCAACGAGGCGUAGCCGACCUGAGAGAGGGGUCGGCGGCACUGGAGCUGGAACGCGGACCAGACUCCUGCGGGAGGCAGCAGUAGGGAAUCUUACGCAAUGGGCGAGAGCCUGACGCAGCAGCGCCGCGUGAGUGAUAACGAUCUUGGGAGCGUAAUGCUCUGUUAUUAGGGAAGAACAGAUGUGUACGUAGAUAUGCACGUCUUGACGGUACCUAGUCAGAAAGCCACGGCUAACUACGUG